rnacentral:lncRNA from 1 species
UGACAGAGAAACCUCAUAUUUAUAGGCCACAUUUUAAACCUUAAAAGAGUCCUAAAAGGUAAAAAAAAAAAAAAAUAUUACAAUCAGGAGACUCAAUUUCAACGGGAUUUUGUUUCCUUGAUGUUGAAUGCAGUUAGACUCCUUUCUAACAUUAACAACACGUGAUUCAAGACUCCUAUUUGAGUUACAACUCUAAUAAUCUCCACAUUGACUCAAAUUUCGGUGCAACGAGCGGAGCUUCACAAAAUUUUUCUACCUAAGAAAUAAACACGUUUGCAUUAAAAUGAAAUGACAAAUCUUCUCAAUGCAGUAACCAAAACUCUCUAUAUAAACCAUCGUCCUCUGCACGACAUCCACAAAUGAUACCUGAAUCCUACUCCCGAGUUCCCAAAAUUUCACCAAGGAAUUAAUGUUUUCCAAACAGGAUCGAAGCACACCCUGUAGCAAAAACCAUAUAAAAUGCCCGAACAGAAGGCUACUUGCUAGAAUUGUCGCCUUUAACGUCCUCAAAAGUAUUACAGAUAUCACUGACACCACGGUACCUACGCUCAAUGGAUCCAAUCUUAGCAACUGAAAACAGUGCAAUUGCUGAAAUUGGUGGCAAAGCGGAAUCACCAACGCUCCCUCGAUUAAUGUUUUGAAUCGACUCAGAGCCCAUUACAAAAGAUAUUGUACCAAACUGAAUAUCCAAAACGGUACUAAACUUGUCCAUAUGUCUCUUAAUUGGUUAUGCGCUCCUCUGCAAGAUGUACAACUGAGGCAUUCUUCAUCCCUUUUGACACCCUUUCGGACCUUUCAAGACUCCACCUCCACCAGAGAAUUUAUACCCUUUUGCAUCUAGAGUACUAAGCGAGAUGAGAUUUCUUAUCAGGUCUGUAACAUGUCGAACCUGAUCAAUUAUUCUUACUGUCCUAUCCUGCAGCCUAAAUCUAAAUUGACCGAUCCCAGCAAUACGACAAGACUGGUUGUUUCCCAUUACAAUUUCACCUUGUCGAACAACCUCAUAUGUCUAAAAGAAAUUUCGAUUGGAACACAUGAUGCGAACAUGCCGAAUCAAGAAUCCACUUCUCGUCCGGCCUAGAUCCACGUCAGAUACCACGGUCAACUUCACAUCUCCGCCGUCUGAAAAAUCCUUAGCUAUAUUUGUUUCGUUUGAAGUCAAAGGUUGCGCUCCACGAUUUGCAGCUAAAUCACCUUUAGCCUGCAACUUAUUGCAAUCCUUCCAAAUAUGUCUCUUAUGUCUACAGUAGAAGCAAAACAAAUUGGUGUUAUUCUUUGAUCUGCCUCUCCAUCGACCACCAUGAGAUACAAGAGUUUUCUCAUCCCUUGAUGUAGCUCCAACUUCUACUUUGAGUGCAAAGCAUCAUAGACGUCAUCUAUAGUCAAAGUAUCCCGACUAUACAAAAUGGUGUUUCGAAAUGACGCAUAAGAGCCAAACAGUGAACACGAUAUGAUCAAGGCUAGAUCCUUUUCAUCGUACUUAACUUCCAAUGUCUCUAGAUUUGCAAUUAUUUCCUUGAACAUGGCAAUAUGGUCCUCCAGUGACCCUCCUUCUACCAUACGAUGAGAAUAUAGCUUCCGCUUUAGAGCCAAUUUGCUCGUGAGACUUUUAGUCAUGCAUAACUACUACAGUUUCAACCACAAAGCAGCCGCUGUUUUCUCCUCCAAGACAUUCUGCAGAAUAUUGUUGGAUAAAUGAAGAUGGAUUUGUGAUAAAGCCUUUUGAUCCCUCCGUUGUUUCUCUUCUGUUGUCCAAUCAGUUGACAUCUUCUCAAAACCUUGCAGCGCAUCAUCCAAAUCCAACUGCGUUAGAAUAACCUCAUCUUUACUUGUGACAAAGAAUACAUUAUAUUGCGAUCCAGCAGCAGAAUGACAUACCUCAUGGUAGUCAUAUCUGAAAAAACCUCAAUCAAUCCACAGAAGAAGAACUAAGUUAUGAUACCACUUGUUGAUCCCAAAAGGUUGUAAAGAAUGAGAUU